UCCUGAUAGUUCAGGUAGUAAAAAAUCUGCCUGUAAUGCAGGAGAUCCUGGUUCAAUUCCUGGGUCAGGAA
rnacentral:tRNA from 1 species